UACAGAGGUCUCAAGCGUUGUUCGGAUUCAUUGGGCGUAAAGGGUGCGUAGGUGGCGUUAUAAGUCAGGUGUGAAAUCUCGGGGCUCAACCCCCGAAACUGCACUUGAUACUGUAAUGCUCGAGUACUGGAGAGGAGAUUGGAAUUUACGGUGUAGCAGUGAAAUGCGUAGAUAUCGUAAGGAAGACCAGUGGCGAAGGCGAAUCUCUGGACAGUUACUGACACUGAGGCACGAAGGCCAGGGGGAGCAAAACGGG
rnacentral:rRNA from 1 species